UGUUCGGGUUGUCAUGCCAAUGGCACUGCCCGGUAGCUAAAUGCGGAAGAGAUAAGUGCUGAAAGCAUCUAAGCACGAAACUUGCCCCGAGAUGAGUUCUCCCUGACUCCUUGAGAGUCCUGAAGGAACGUUGAAGACGACGACGUUGAUAGGCCGGGUGUGUAAGCGCAGCGAUGCGUUGAGCUAACCGGUACUAAUGAACCGUGAGGCUUAACCUUACAACGCCGAAG
rnacentral:rRNA from 1 species